rnacentral:lncRNA from 1 species
UUGAGUAGAAGAAGCAGAAGUACAGACCAACAAAGUUACUAGCCUCAAAGUUUCAAUUUGAUUUCAAGAAGACAAGGAGGGACGAAUCGCGAAAGAUGAAGAGGCGAGAUUGGUGACAACGCUAGCUUUAAAAUGCAAAUACAAUGAAAAAAGAGGAAGGGCGACUUGCCAACUUGCUCAAAGUCGCCAAGAAACAAUGACAACAAUAUUCAAAGCCACAAAUGGCGUACAUCAAGAUAUUCAAAAGUCAUAGAAGGGCGUACAAAUUAUCUACGAAAUAUCAACAACAAAAGGAAGGACAAGGCGACAAGCAAACAAAUAGUAUGAGUCAGCAACAAAUAGGCGACAUAGAACCACGCCGAGACAUAAUAAUCGCCAAGUUACUUNNNNNNNNNNNNNNNNNNNNNNNNNNNNNNNNNNNNNNNGGUGUGAUUUGUUAAGGCCCAAUACGAAAAAGCCCAAUGGGAGCAUCUAAAGGAGAAGCGUGAAAACAACCAUGAAAAACACAUGAUAAGCAUGAUCCAUCAUGACUUGGAGAAGAAGGAAGAAACUUGGAGAAGAAGGAAGAAGCUUGGAGAAGAAGGAAAAAGCUUGAAGAAGAAGGAAAAGUAACCGCCCACUACCCAUGAAUUCCUCUCCAAGCAAGGCGGUUAUCAAGCAACAAGAGGGAGAUGUUUUGCCUAUAAAUAGGAUCUUCUUCAAGAGAACAAGGGAGGCUCUCAUUCUGAGAAACCACCAUACUUUCAUUCUUGUAAAGACACAAUUCUUUCAAUCUUGUAAAGAGAAAAUAUUUUUUCCUCUAAUCAUACUUGUAUCCAUUAUCAAUCUUGAAUAAUACAAACCCCCUAUGUUUUUUACCAGAACAUAUAACAACUUUUAAGUUUUUUUUUUUCAUUUUUUUAAUUAAAAACUCACAUUAAUUAAUGAGUUGGCAAUUUAAAAUAAAUAAAAAAUAAAUUAAUUUCCACG